rnacentral:misc_RNA from 1 species
CUCAACCCAGAGCAGCACAGAGAUUUGUCUUCUAGACUUGUGCAGUCUUUUGAUGAGGCAAUGAUUACUUCUGCAACAGAGAAAUUAGACCAAGCUCUCAAGGAUGAAGCCAUUUCAUACCAUGUUCUGUCUGGGCGGCAUAAAAGCUUGUAUAGCAUUUAUUGCAAAAUGUUGAAGAAGAAGUUGAACAUGGAUGAGAUUCAUGAUAUUCAUGGGCUCCGUCUUAUUGUUGAAAAUGAGGAUGAUUGUUAUAGGGCAUUAAAAGUUGUUCAUCAGUUAUGGUCUGAAGUGCCUGGAAAAUUCAAAGACUACAUAAAUCAUCCCAAGUUCAAUGGAUAUCAAUCUCUCCACACCGUAGUAAUGGCUGAAGGCAUGGUGCCACUUGAAGUUCAAAUUCGAACAAAGGAGAUGCAUUUGCAAGCUGAGUUUGGAUUUGCAGCUCAUUGGAGAUACAAGGAAGGUGAUUGCAAGCACUCUUCAUAUGUGCUUCAGAUGGUUGAGUGGGCACGAUGGGUUGUGAGCUGGCAGUGUGAGACAAUGAGCAAAGACCAUUCUUCCAUUAGCUGUGCUGAUUCUAUGAAACCUCCCUGUGCGUUUCCUACUCAUUCUGCUGAUUGCCCAUAUUCCUACAAGCCACACUGUGGCCACGAUGGACCAGUCUUCGUCAUCAUGAUGGAGAAUGACAAGAUGUCGGUGCAAGAGUUUCCUGCAAACUCGACUAUGAUGGAUUUGCUGGAAAGGGUUGGACGGGGAAACUCAAGAUGGUCUUCAUAUGGGUUUCCUGUCAAGGAAGAAUUGAGGCCAAGGCUGAAUCACAAGCCAUUAAGUGAUACUUCACGCAAGCUGAAGAUGGGGGAUGUGGUGGAG